rnacentral:rRNA from 1 species
AUGAAAACCUUAGCAUGGAACUGUCGUGGAAUGCUUUCGUCCCGUACAGUUCAAGAACUAGUGUGUCUCGUACACACUUAUAAGCCCAAGCUCGUAUUCUUGACUGAAACUCGGCAGAACAAUAAGUAUGUGUCGAAUCUGAAGUGGAGGCUAGGCUUUCGUCAUUGUAUCAUGCAACCCGGCACCGGAAAAAGUGCCGGCAUUGCUCUCUUUUAUGAUGAAUCUGUGGAAAUAAAGAAGAUUGCCUGGGGG